CCAUCCCCCUAGAUGCUUGAGAGAAGAGGUUUCAAGUACCUCCUCCAUUUUCUCAGCUUUGACCUGAAGCAGAGGAUAAAGGAUUAUUGUUGUCGUUCAAAGCCAUCUGGAAAAGCUUUUUGUGGCAGUGCCGUACCAUUUCAAUGACCGUGAAACAGUGGGAGUAUGAGAACUUUACUGUGUCACUACAUUUAUAUGCCCUGCCUUAGCUGCUCUCUGUUACUUAACACUGUUCUUUCAAUGUUAGUUCAAAAUGGAUUUGCUGGUUUGCUGAGGUCACUGUUUUCCCUUACUGCUCUGAAGGCCACAAAGGUAAAAUGCUUCCCAUUCAUUGUUUUGCCGUUUUCGAUCUUUUAUUUCAAUUGUGUUCGUGCUUCAAUAAGGUUCUUGUCUUUACUCGUGAAAGCAAACGAAGUAAUAAAAAUGUUUUGUAACAGCUGUAAUAAGGUACAACAUAAUACAUAUAUAUAUAUCCUACAACAAGUAUUUCAGAAGCAUGUUCUCUUCUUAAUUUUACCGUGGAAUCAGGAAAAAACUGUCCUGCCAGUAACACAUUAAAGCUUGUGAUCAGAUUGCCACAAUUUUACUCCCAGAUUUUUUUUCAUCUUGCAACAGCAAAUGAGAACUUGUGGUAUGUUUAUAGAUGUAACACGCUCAGGUUGUAAGCUCUCUUCAUUUUGAGAUCUGUAUCUGAGCUGUAACAGAAAUUUUUGUCACACUAGUGUCUCAAAGACUAAAUCAUGGAGUUGCUUGCAAUUCUGUAAUGUAUUAGACAAUCUGAUCCCAAUUAGAUUACUAACUGCAGUACAAACCACAGACAUCAGUUCCUAGCUAGCACGCCCACAUUAUUUCUAGAUGGUGUAUUCUAUUUAUCUUCAUUUUCAGCGAUUUCACUGCAGCUUUAUAAUUAAACCUGUCUCCGACAUCGCAGGGAAAGGAAAAGUGCUCUGUAGUCAUGGCCAGUUGGACAUCCUUAUGUGUUAGGAAGAUGUUGCAGUGAUAGCUGUUCCACAUCGUUUCUGCAUUUUGUUAUAACAUACAGUGUUCUAGAGUUCAAGCUACAGAGUACUUGGCACAACUGAGUGAAUUGCCUUGAUUGAUACCAUUUCAUAUGUCAUGGCUUAUUAGUGAUUUUUAAUUUAAGGAUUAUUGGGCUGAUUACACUCAACAGUUAUUUCUGUGAAUUCAACAAAGCUUUUGAAAUUUAACUCCUUUAGGUUCUUUAUUUGUAUGUCAUGGCCUUAUUCUUCAAAUACAGUUUGAAAAAUAAAUAAAAGACCAUAUGUAGAUAACACAGCAGUUGUGCAGUGCAUGUAGAUCCCUGUAUGGGAGCCUUACAAAUUUGAAUGCUCAGGAAUGAAGGUGCUCAAAAGGCCUAUUGCAUGUAAAGUUUAGUGGGCAUGGUGGUGGUGAAUUAAUGGUUGUAGUAGAUGAUCUUAGAGGUCUUUUCCAGUCUUUAUGGUUCUCUGAUUCUAAAUUCACUCAACAAUUAGGAAGCAUCAGGAUUAAAAUUCCUGCAUAAAAAUAUGCAUUUACGGGGAUUUUUUGAAAGGUAUCAGAACUCACUGUGAACUCUUGGAAAAAACAGCCAAGCACUGCUCUGCAUUUUGCAUAUCUUUAUAAUUUUGAAAGUAAUAGUCCAAGGUAUUUUAGUGGGAGUUAGCCUUCGGUGAUUUUCUACCAGUAUUGAGCACAAUAGAUACACCAAAAUCAUUCUGCAGUACUAUACAACUUGUCAGAAUUGUGGAUUUUGUUUAGAAGUUUAGGGGAUUUUCUGCAGAACCUAAACCUGAAAAAAAAAGGUAUAGGAGUGUCUCAAAGCACAUAAAUUUUAAGUUCUUCACAGAAGUGAGGCACGAGUGAAAAAUUACCAGACGUAUAAAGUUCUUUAGAAGAGAAGAAACAGGUGCUCUUUGCUUUUGAAUGACUAAUCUAAAUCCAAAAGUAUUAUUUUUUUUUCAGGCUAAGCAUGAGUUUCUUUCAUUUUUCAGUCCUGAGCCAAGUCUUUACUCUUUGAAGAUGUCAUUAAAACCACCUCAAGGUCUCUCUGCCUCAAACUGUGUGAUUUUCAGCAAUUGCUUAAAGGUACAGCUAAACAAUGACAUAAGUUGGUGCUACAAGGUGGUUAAUUAAGCAAUGUGAAGAGCAAUGAAUUAAUGUGCUAUCCAUGUAAGUGUCUUUCUGAUAACUACUUGGUUUGCAAUUAUGCCUGGUUUAAUCUGAUGAUAAUACCUAAGAAGUUGUGGCUUCUUAAAAUGACCUUUGUUUUGGGAAAAACACGGGUGUCUGUGCUUUACUAAGGGUUUUGUUGAUUUAUUUUUGGGUUUGUUUUUUUGGCUUAGGUUUGAAUGAACCACUGACUUAUGCAAAUAGAUACGUUAACAUGGAAGAUAACAUGCUGUCUUUUAUUUAAAAGGAAGAAUGGAGGACCACGCUGAACAUUGGCUGUUCCAAAGUUAAUAGUUGAACAAUGCAUUUAACUGCAUUGUCUUGUAUUUUUAGCAACAUUUGGGCUAUUCAGAGUUCUUUGGAUUAUAGAUCACUUUUACAUUACAGAAGGGGAUAAUGCAUCUCUCUAUUACUACUGAUGGAUGUCUCAAAUUAAAUGUAUGUGCUUAACGUCCAUGCUUUGAAGGUUAACGACCUUGUGAUAGAGAAAUGGAGACUGACUUUCGCUGUCCUGUGCUAAAAUUCCCUUUAUCUUUCACCGGUGUGCUUUGCUACAUAUAUUGACUUGUGGAAAGUCCUUUGAUGAAAGGUAGUAACAGGAGGGGUAUUGCGACUUUAUUUCUUGCCGGGUAAAUCCUAGCUGACCCUAUUACCAUCAACUCCUUUCUUUCAAGGAACAAACUUCUAGGGGGUGGGAGGGUGAAUAGUUUCACUCAUAAUGCCAUGUUUUCCACCGAUCAGAAGCAUCUUUGAUUCCCAAAUGUUGUUGGAAAUAAAAUUCUGACUAAAUUUAAUUUCAGUUCACGGUAUUUAGGAGAGACUACUUCAAGCAAUUAAGCAAGCGUUCAUUUUUCCUAGUCUGGUAUGCAGUCAUAGGAACGCAAGGAAUUUGUUGAACCUAAAAUAACGUAUUGAAUGUUCUUCUAGUUAUUUCAGAAGAUAACUUCAUUAAGUCUUGCUUUUCCUCAUUCUUUAAUUUUUGUAUAAGGAUUGACAACAGUGGAGAUAACUCCAGCUGAAGUGCUCCAACAGCAGGAGUCUAGAGGAACAUACAGGAAUAGUCUCAUUUGGAUUUCAGAUGACUGCUCGUGUCUUUAACCAGUGUCAUGCUUUUCCUUCAAACACUGUCUCCAUACUGUCAUCUGUGCCUUUGUAAUUGUACUGUGGAGGUGAUUCUAAAAUGCUAAAUUUUAUGGCAAACCAGUAUGAUGAGCUACAAAUGAUUGAGCUCAAAUUGUGCCAAAAUAGUUACAUCUCUAGCAUUAAGGAAAGCCCUUACAGGCAAACUGUCUGUGUGUUCUGGGUUUCUAAAUACUGGAAAUGAAUUUGUUCCAAAUUUGGGUAGAAUUAGGUCUCGGAAAAGUGGUUUGCUUGAAAAAUGGAAGGAUGGUUUUUGGCUAGGUAGUGGCCUGCUGUUCAGAGCUCCCAUGUGACUCUGAGUUCUCUCCCCUCACUGGAUAUUGAGCAUUGACUGUGCAUGAAGGGGGACCUUCUGUUAGAAACUGUUGCAACAGACUCAUCCAAAAGAACCUGAAUCUGCCAAAGAAGGAACUUCAACCUUUUGACCUCAUUGAGACCAAAUGAUCCCUGCUGAAAUGAGCCGUUUCUUCGAGAAAGUCUGGGCUGGAUCUGAGAAUUUCCUUUCAGAAUUGAUAAAUACCACAAAUUCUUGAUCAAAUUUACUUGCUAGUCAAAACAUAAUAUUGAUUGAGAAACAAAAAAAAAAAAGUGUUGUAUAUUGCUUGCAGUUAGUACUUUUUUAUGAGAUACUGUGAACAAAACAGAUCAAGAUAGUAAUGCAGGUUAUUGCUUUGCCUUGUUUUGCCAGUCAUGCAUUCAGAUAUUACCACAGGCAAAAACAAUUUCAUGGCCCCUGAUAUAUCUGCAUCACAUCCUGUUUGAAAACCAAUAAAAAGAUUGAGUGAUGUUCCUGGGAAGGAACUGUAACGUUGAGAAGUCCUUAGCUCUGUAACCAAAGAUUUUAAUCCUUAUACUGUUGGACAUUUCUUCCCAUCUGUAAAUUGAGAGAAAUGAUUUUCAGAAUUAAAUCAAAUUUUAAGACUGCAAAUUAUAGUAAAGUUGCAAGUUAUAGUAUUUCUACUUAAACAUUUAAUGGGUUGCCAUAGAGAACUCUACUGUGCUUAAAUUAAAAUGGCACUAUCCAAAAGAACUAAGCUAAUAUUUCUUGGCUACAGAAACCAGAUGAAUACAAUCAGUGCACUCAGUGGGAAAUGAAAAGGGAAAAUAUUCUCUUGGUUUGGGUGAUUUCAGGUGUGUUCACUUGCCCUUUUGUGUGAUCUUUACGUGUAAAAUGUCUUUUAUUUCCUAUAUGCAAGUUUGUUUUGUGAACACUGUUUUCUUUGUUGUCUAUUUUGAACCAUCUUCGUUUCCUGCAGUUUCCAAAAAAUCAGCUGACUUUUAGGUAGUUGAUGCUCUAGACGUUAUUGCCAUAUGACUACAAGUUACUGAUGGAAAUUCAAACACAUCCUCCUGGGUUUUAUUGCAUGGCUCAAAAAGCCUAACUGCAGUUUUGGCCUCUUGUAUAGCGGCUGUGUAGUGUAACGAGAAGAAAAACCUAAUCACUGAUAUCUUUGUUAAAACUUCUUCACAGAGUGUGGUGCGCACAGUGCAGGAGUGGAUGUGAUGAAUCCUGCAGGCAAACAGAACUGUCCUUGUUUGCAGAAAGGACUGUUUUAGAUUGUAACAGUUAUUGUGCUGCUCAUCCAGUUCACUGCAGAUAUUUUUCCCUUACCAAACUAAUAUUUGAGUUCAAAUGUUCACUCUAAUGUCAGGACCUGAUAUAUUUUUACUUCCCCCUUUCUCUUAAUUUUAUUGAUUUUUUUCUAAGCCAAACAUUCCAUAAAUUAGUUCUAUUAGAAGGCUUAUUGUGGAAUGUGAUAUAAUUGGCAACUGAUUGUUGAUGUAGGAGAUUUAUGUUGGCCUUACAGUAAUAGUUUCUUAUAAUUGAAUACAUAUGUGAUUUCCAGUGUCUAGACUUGGGAACUUUCCCAGGAAGGAGUUCCAGGUGGUUAUCUAACUGUAAUAAGCCAAAUGGCUACCACUCAGUCUGCAGACAUGGGAAAUAUGCAAAUACUACUGGCAAACGUAAUUAUUUCAUAAAUCUGCAUUUAAAUCACAAUAUAUCCAUUUACAUCUAAUGGUUUGACCAGCUUAUUCGUUUUAUAGAUUCAUUUAGAAUCUUUUUUUUUUAAACCUGAAACUUUCUUUCCCUCGAUUACUCCCUAAACUGAAAUAAUAUAAAAUGCAGAGGUGAGAAGUUCUUGAUAUGCCCGGAUGUCAAAAAGCUUUAACUAUGUUACAUGCCUGAGUUAGUUGCAUUAGUAUAUGAAGUAGUAAGUGCUUGAAGUAGCAGUUACAUUGCCAUAUAUUGAACUAAUUCCAUGAAAUCUGAUUAGGUAUAGUUAAGUGACAUGGCAACUUGAGUUUUCAUUUGCUAGCAGACUGAUUUCUGGAAGGAUCUCAGAAAGGAAACGUGUCUGGAAGCUGCACAGCCUACUAAAGCAUGUGGUGAUUUGAUAUUGUCCUGAUCCCAGUUUGCCUUGAACAUGCUUUGCACGCUAAAACAUCCCUGGAGAAGGAAAACACAGUUGGCUAUCCCAGCGUGAAUACUCUGCAAAUAUUGUUCUGGGGCCCGCACAGCCUGUGACUCACAAUGAAUAUUUUCAGCUCUGGUUCUUACAGUACAAUAGGAAAUACAAAGGAAAAUAAGUAAUUUGCUGGGGCCUAACACAGUGUGACUUGAUCAUUGUGCUUCAGAGAACAGAAGAGCUACAUUAGCAGAAGUGAAAAGUCCUUUCAAUUCAGAUUUCAUAUGCCAGAUGGCUGGCUCUUGUUCUUAUGUUUUGGUGGUGGUGGGUUUUUUGUUGUUGUUGUUAUUUUUGUUGUUGUUGUUUUUCCUUUUAUCCUACCUGUUAAGAUAGCAAAGAAUGACAUACGUUAUCUGGCUCUGCAGCCAAGUGUGUGGUCCAAAUUAUUUUCACAGAAUGCCUGGAAAAGUCUGCUUGCUUGCCUGCCUGCCUCAAUCAUUUUUCUCAACUAAUUAGAAAAGUCUGCCAAACAUUUUUGGGCUAAGGCACUAAUUAUUCUCAAACAAAUGUUUCAAUUUUGCACAAGUUAGGAAGUGUCUCUGUAUUAAAUGACUGCAUGCCAAGAUGCCAGAGUAGUCAGUCUGCUUUUGUUUAUCAGUAUGUCUGGAAGUCCUGUAGGACCAAGGAAAAAAACUUAAAAGCACCAUUUUCAAGCAGAGAUCUGUAGUGUUUAGUGAUGUUAAAGGAAAUAAUACUGCAAUACUUACUUUGUACGUGUUAGCUUUUAAUGAGAAAUAGGUCUAUUUUCCUUCUGGAAAUGCUGUUUCUUGUGAUGUUUGUAAUUGCAUUGGUCCUCAGAUUCUGUUGUUUCUGGCAGAGAAUAAAAGGAAAUCUUGUAGUUUUUCAUGCCAGACUGGCCUAUCUAACCCUGUCUCAGCUUUUAUGGCCCAGUCUUCAACACCCUAUUUCAGCAUUAAAGAAGAUGGUCCCUCGUGGCAAGGGCAUUGGAGAGUCAUUCUUUGUAAAAGUUCAAGUUGAAUUUGGCAAUCUGAAGAAAUUUGAAUGGUUUAAUGAGGCCUAUAGCUUGUUUUCCAAGUAAUGGUCUGGACCUGGAUUCUGUGUUUCCCUUCUCGGAAGUGGUGGUGGUCUUCUGGAACAGUCUCAUCCUACCUCAGGUCUGGAAAUGUAUUGGUCAUGCUGAUUUAUUUGUGACAAGGUUCACAGUCUGAUAGUUUGUUAUGUCAGUGAUAAGAUAUAUGCCUCUGAUUAGCUGUAUCUCUGCUGAUGCUGCUAAACUUCUGCCAUCUGUCUUUCAAAUUGUUUGUCCUCAUCCCAAAAGUUGCUCUGUAAGAAGAUGGUAGAUUGCCAUACUUAGGAGUCUUUUUGACUUCUGUUGGAUCUGCCCAUGUAUAACCAACAAAAAAUAGUUUCCACCAACUGCCUUCCUCUGUUUUUUGAAAGUAGGGAAAAUGUUUUUUUUUUGUUUUGUUUUUGUUUUUCCAUGGAAAAAUACUGUUGGAGCAGCCCUCGUGUUAUUUUCUAAAGAUGACGAGAGAAACUCAACAGUUUAUUUCACAGAGUUAAGUGAAAUGAUUUACUUAUGAGCCAAUGAGUUUGUUUUUUAGAUCUGUGCUAGCACAAAAUUGCUGGAUUAAGGUGGUGGGCUUUUUAGUUUUGUUUCUUGAAGCAUAUAUUAAGGGGGAGGACAAAAUGAAAGAAUGAAACCAUCAGAAUGGCAGCAGAACUUGGAACAUUUCAUUACUUGAUUUAUUUCCAGAAGCCACCUGUGCCAAGGCAGAAAAUGUGCUUAAAUACUACAGUAUUUGUACCUCUUUGAACAAUUAUUCGUAUUAGGGUAAUUAAGUAGUCAUAAUUUGUAUUUGAAUAAUGGAUUAUAUGUGUUUUCUUUGCAAUAUUUCCCUUCCUUCUUUAGGGAAAAUAUUGAAUCUGGUUUGUGAGUGCUUUCUACCAUUAAUUACUUUUUGCCCUGAUCUGCACCCACUGGCUUAAUUGCCAUCUGUCUGCAUAGUGUGCAGUGUGUGCUUUUUUAAAAUAAAAUAAUAAUAACAAAUGUAAAUUGUUUGUAAAGAGGAGAUGCAUCACGUGACUCUGAAAAGAGUUGGCUCUGGACAAUGCUGGCUGCUCCUGGCAGUGGCUGUGCUACAGGAGUGCUUGCAGACAGAAGAUGUCAAGUGAAGACAUUGCAAAUAUGGCAUUCCUGGUUCUUUAGCAUGAUGUAGAGCAAAAGACAAAGGGGCUGUGAAUCCUAGAGUGUCUCUCAUGGUUCAGUCCAUAGUCAUCUCCUACAUGGCAAGGAAGCUUUUAAGAAAACAGAGCUUAGAAAACUUUUCUUUUUCUAUUUUGUUCAUUUCCUUCUUGUCCUUUCAGUGCACAGUUAUUUGCUAGAUAAUUCUCCCUGCUGGUUUCAACUCGAUCCUUUUGAGUGCAUGAAUCUUUCUUUUCAACAUCAGUCACACAGUCUAAACCUUGCGAUGACCUCUAAAUGUACUAAACAUUUGGUAACCCUUCUUGGCUUUCUUGACAUUUGGAUGUCUGCGGAUUUAGCCUUCUCUUGAGGGGCAGAGGAACACGGUGGAGGAUCUGAAUUUGUUCAAGGUGGUAGCUGUUAUCCAAGACCAGCAAGGACCUGGUGGCAGCAAGAAUGUCAAGAUACCUAUAGCCAUGCAGAGGCAGCUGCCCAUAGAUGACUUGGAUCUUCAUUUUUUUGUGUGAAAUUGAAAUUUAUGGAUGUCCUCAGAGCAUGGGUGAAAUCCAUUAAAACUGGCAGAAGAGUUGGUUCCAUAUCCACAGAGUCAACAGAGCCAAACAGAAAUAUGAAGCUGAGAAAAAAGAAGGGAAUGUGUGCAGCUGCAUGGCAUAGAGUCCAGCUCAGAACCUGCCUACCCAUCAGUUCUUUCUAGAUGAAAGAGUUGAUGAAGCUUCAAAAGUGGUUCCAUACUCUAGGAGAUGUGUGAUAGUACUGUCCUGGUUUGAGCAACCUGAACUGCAGAUGUCACUCUUCGUGGGAACUCAACCCUUUUGUUGCCUGCAGCAUCGGACUGCACAAACUACACAAUUCUUUACCCCAUGGAAGUGUCAGGAGGAAAUGUGGGCUGUGAUGAUCAAAAACAAAAGACUCUUUGGGAUCUUCGACCUUGUGCAAUUAAAGGUCUCCCUUCAAUACCUACUUCAUCAUUUAAUGUCUGUGGUGCCAAUAAUGUGCUGGUGCUUUGGUAUGGUAUCAACUCCAAGGGAAGAGUGCCACCUACUGAACUACCAGUUCUCUAUUUUGUGACAUAUAUAUCUGCCAGUUUUUCACCCAAAAUACUGACCAAAUCCUGUCUUGUGUAAGACAUGCAAUAUCAAGGCCUUGACAUGGCAUAUCCAAAUGUGUGAUGUUCCCAGUGUGGAUGAGAUCACUGUGCUGUGGCACUUGGAAACAUAAUCCUUUCCUCCUUUGUGGAUGUUUGAACGUGGAUUUUAACACGAUAAUUAUAAAAGACUGCAAUAAAAAUGAAGUUAGUAACAACCCACAUAAUGUUACUGUUAUCUGACCCUGAUUUGAACUCUCCACUGCUAUAAAAGCUAAAAUAUACUGCUAAUGAUUUCUUUGAAAAUAUGCUAAUAAUUAAUGCAUUAUUUCAGUCUUAGUCUCAUAAAAAUUAGAAAUGUCUUUAAAAAGAAUUAAAACAAUAAAGCUUUUUGUGCUUCCUCCUAGAUACUAAAAUGCAUUUUUUCAAAGUCUCUCAUGCAAAGAAAUUCAAUUAUCCUUCUAUAAACAUGGGUGGAAUAAUGUAUAUAUUUUUCCCAUAAAUUCUUUAUUCCAGCAUGACUUCAAUUGCAGAUCUUUCUAUGAUUUUCCCUACUAAAUCUUUCUUUUGGCAAAGCAAAGGGGAAAAAUCCAUCUUUGGAAAUGAACAUGCACGUGUCCAAAGAAAAAUGGGACUACUUCAGUUUUGUAGAAAAACUGAAUCUCAGAGAAUGACUAUUUUGGAAGAAUUUCAGGUAAAACUUCAGACUUUUUGUUCAAGGUUGGUAACUCAUAUUCCCGUGGAUCAUUUGGAUUAAAGGAUGAGUAAGGUAACAGUGUGAAACUGGCCCAAAUAUCUCCAGAAUAUAAAGCCUGGUGUCUUAAUGCCGCUGCUGGAAAAUGAGGUACUGUAAUACCAAUUAAAACAUAAGCAGUGAGUCUUUUUGAUGGGAAGAAGUGCUCUGAAAAUUCUUUACAAGCAUUUCCUCAUACUUGCAUCAUAGUCCUUUUGUGAUUUUUUACAAGCAAACUUCUGCAUCUGAAAACUCAAGCCAUUACAGAAUCUACCUGUAUUUCAUCUUAUUUUUUUCACUCACCUAAAAGAAUUAGCUCAUAGAUCCACUUCUGUUCCUCCCUGGCAAUUAGAGCUGCUGCUGAAGAUCUGUACAACGAGAAGUGCCUAGAGUAUAACACAGUGCUAAGUGCUCACCCUCAACUCUGUGGUCCUGGGUAACUUGGGAUGCAACUUCUCAUUGAGCCCUCUUGUAGCUUAACUGCAAUGACACUGCUUAAGGCAUGCUGAACUCAUUAAUCUGCUGUUGGAAAAGAACAGCUGACAUAACCAUUCUUAAUUUGUUAUGAAGCAGAAAAAUUGAUAUAAACAAGCUGUUGUAAUGCAUUUUUUUAAUGCCUUUUUCUUUGCUCUCCUCCACAGUUUCCUUCC
ensembl:lncRNA